GACGAACGCUGGCGGCGUGCUUAACACAUGCAAGUCGAACGAUGACGCCCGAGCUUGCUCGGUCUGAUUAGUGGCGAACGGGUGAGUAACACGUGAGCAACCUGCCCUUCACUCUGGGAUAACCUCGGGAAAUCGGGGCUAAUACCGGAUAUGAGCUCCUGUCGCAUGGCGGGUGUUGGAAAGUUUUUCGGUGAAGGAUGGGCUCGCGGCCUAUCAGUUUGUUGGUGAGGUAGUGGCUCACCAAGGCGAUGACGGGUAGCCGGCCUGAGAGGGCGACCGGCCACACUGGGACUGAGACGCGGCCCAGACUCCUACGGGAGGCAGCAGUGGGGAAUAUUGCACAAUGGGCGAAAGCCUGAUGCAGCGACGCCGCGUGAGGGAUGACGGCCUUCGGGUUGUAAACCUCUUUCAGCAGGGAAGAAGCGAAAGUGACGGUACCUGCAGAAGAAGCGCCGGCUAACUACGUG
rnacentral:rRNA from 1 species